UACGAAGGGGGCUAGCGUUGUUCGGAAUUACUGGGCGUAAAGCGUGCGCAGGCGGCCUUCCAAGUCAGGGGUGAAAGCCCAGAGCUCAACUCUGGAAUUGCCUUUGAGACUGUGAGGCUUGAGUACGGGAGAGGUGAGUGGAAUUCCCAGUGUAGAGGUGAAAUUCGUAGAUAUUGGGAAGAACACCGGUGGCGAAGGCGGCUCACUGGCCCGAAACUGACGCUGAGGCGCGAAAGCGUGGGGAGCAAACAGG
rnacentral:rRNA from 1 species